ACCCACUUUGCCCACAGUUUUCAGAGCAAAAGAGACUUUAUGUGAGAACAGACUGUUGAAAUGCUACUACAACUGCGAUGAACAAUAUUCUACUAACGGCAAGUGAUUCAGUCUAAAGGAGACUAAAAAGAAACAUGACUAGAGGUGUUGUGAUGCUUAAAACUACAUCUGUGUACACAGAUGUUUUGAUACAUCUUUUGUUGAUACUGGUCAAUGUUGAAGGAUGGACGUAUCACUGGAAGGACAACGAGACAAUGACCUGGAAUGAGACAAGGAAGUGGUGUCUAACAGAAUACACAGACAUUGUGAUGGUCCACAAUGAAAAUGUAACAUAUUUCCUUAAAAACAAUUUGAAAGAAAAAUCUUCAUCUCCCCUACUACUGGAUUGGAUU